rnacentral:rRNA from 1 species
AAAACAGUCCUACGGGAGGCAGCAGUGGGGAAUAUUGCACAAUGGGCGCAAGCCUGAUGCAGCGACGCCGCGUGAGGGAUGACGGCCUUCGGGUUGUAAACCUCUUUCAGCAGGGACGAAGCGCAAGUGACGGUACCUGUAGAAGAAGGACCGGCCAACUACGUGCCAGCAGCCGCGGUAAUACGUAGGGUCCGAGCGUUGUCCGGAAUUACUGGGCGUAAAGAGCUCGUAGGUGGUUUGUCGCGUUGUUCGUGAAAACUCACAGCUUAACUGUGGGCGUGCGGGCGAUACGGGCAGACUUGAGUACUGCAGGGGAGACUGGAAUUCCUGGUGUAGCGGU